CAGACUUGUUACCAGGUCAUGCUAAGUAAGAUUGUUUUUCUUUCUUAAGGGUGCAAAGGAAGGUGUGAAAAUGAACCUCUAUGCAGUGGGAUCAUAUAACAGACAGCUGAAAACAGUGUGGAUGUACAUUUGCUCAGAGUGCCCAAAAGGAAUCUAUUUAUUUGGAUCAAGACAGACAAAUGUAUCCUGCAUGACCAUCAAGGAAGCGCAUGACAUAAUUAUGCACAAAGCCUAUGGAUACCCACAGCAUCCACGGCCAUGCUACUCAGUUGGUCAAAGGGAUGAGCAGAAAACGGUGGGAGUGACCUUUUCAACCGUUUUAACUGUUUAAAAAUGCUGUCAUGGUGAUAAGAAUUUCCUGUCCCCUGUAAAUACUUAAUGACAAAUUACUAAAUAAAUAAAUA